rnacentral:misc_RNA from 1 species
UGUGGGAGCGAGCUUGCUCGCGAUAGUGGUAUGUCAGUCACAUAAGGCUGACUGAUCCACCGCUAUCGCGAGCAAGCUCGCUCCCACA